UACGUAGGGGGCAAGCGUUGUCCGGAUUUACUGGGCGUAAAGGGCGCGUAGGCGGUCUAAUAAGUCAGAUGUGAAAGUCCAGGGCUCAACCCUGGAAUUGCAUUUGAAACUGUAAGACUUGAGUGCAGGAGAGGAGAGCGGAAUUCCUAGUGUAGCGGUGAAAUGCGUAGAUAUUAGGAAGAACACCAGUGGCGAAGGCGGCUCUCUGGACUGUAACUGACGCUGAGGCGCGAAAGCGUGGGUAGCGAACAGGAUUAGAUACCCUGGUAGUCCACGCCGUAAACGAUGAGUGCUAGGUGUUGGGGGUCGAACCUCAGUGCCGCAGUUAACACAUUAAGCACUCCGCCUGGGGAGUACGACCGCAAGGUUGAA
rnacentral:rRNA from 1 species